GGUCUGAUUUCCACUUAUUUACUUAUUUCCACACAUUUACGUAUUUUUCACUAAAAUUUUUGCUGCAAAAUUGAAAAGGUUGCAAGUCGCAACGAGAAUUUUAGUAAAAGAUAAUAAGUAAAUGAGUGGAAAUCAGACUGGUGAGUGUGUUAGAUUAAUAAGACAAUAAAAGAAAAUGACCCUCCCCAGACACAAUAACAUAUGUAUAUAUAUAUAUAUAUCUGCAUAUGUAUUUUUUUCUGAAUUUGUGUAAAUGUUUAUAGAAAAAUAUAUCAGUUAAAUUAAGUUACAACAUGGUCAGGUUUCCACAUUUUUUAUUAUUAAAAAAAUUUUUUUUUUACAAUCUGAUGAUUACUAAGAACGUAUGAAAGCACUAGGUGAACUUUAUGAACAUUACUAAAUAUUAACAAAUUUUUAACACACUUCAACAUUGUAUACUCAGAGUUCUGAGGAGGUUCAUCAUGACACACAAUGUAAUAAUACUGGCUCUUUAAAAUACAGGUACUAAGCAUUUUUGCCAGCUGAGUGGACUGGAGCAACAUGAAAUAAAAUGUGUUGCACAAGAACAAAAAAUGCAGCCAGAUAUCAAACUCAUGACUUGACGAUCAUGGGCCAAAUAGCCAAACUACUAGGCCAAGUGCUUUCACACACAUGUAUACAUAUAUACAUGCCAAUAUAGAAAGAAAGCAUAUUAAGCCUACUGUCUGACUGAAACAAGAAAGUAAAAAAAAAACAUAUAUAUAUAUAUAUAUAUACAUACGCACAUAUAUAAGUUAAUAUAGGUAUGCAUAUAUAGAUAUAUAAUGUACACACACACACACACAUAUAUGUAUACACACACAUAUACAAAUAUAUAUAUAUAUAUAUAUAUAUAUAUAUACACACACACACAAAAAUGUCUACAUAUAUCUAUAUGCAUGACAUAUACAUGCAUAUAAAUAUAAAAUAUACACAUACACACACACAUAUACAUAUACAUAUAUAAACACAUACACAUAUAUAUGCAAGAUCCGAUGGACUGCAAGACAUCUUAUUCCAGUGUCUCAGUUCUGGCAUAUUUUUUAUGGCUGGAUACCUUCUUCAACAUCUACCUCUUUACAUAGAGUGUGGGGAGCUUUUUCAUGGCAUCAGCACAAGGAAGGUCAUCUCGUAACUGAGGAGACUAUAAGUUCCUUCAAAUAAAAAGGUGGAUGGGAUAUAGGGUGGUUGCUUUAUGAGAGCAGGUGAGAGGGAAAACAAGAACAGGUUUAUUGUUGUAGAAGAAACAAAUGUAUGGCUUCCUUGCAUUUUACAUGGGUGGAUAGGUGGUGACAUACCCUCAAGAUAACAUGUCCAAGAAGGUAAAUAGAAAAUAAUAAUCAGAGAAUGUAGGCAAGGUGGCAAGAGAAUGGGAGGAAAGCAACAAAUAGAGAGAAACAGGUGCAAAAAUGGUCAGCUGUAUAAAAGCAAUAAUGCAACGAACAGGAGUCAAUGGGUUAUAUAUACAGACAUGACAGAAAUAAAUAGACACCCCAUAAAACAUCGUUUUAUGUUUAUUUUAAUUUGUAAAGGUUUAUAUUUUUUAUUAAUUGACAUUUUUAUGUUUCAGGUUCUUAUAUGUGACUAAUUAUGCCAUGUAGAAAAGAAACCUUGGAACUGUCUGAAUUUCAAAGAGGCUGUAUUGUGGGUCAUUCUGAAGGUGGACAUAGCAUAAAAUCAGAGAAAACCUUGGGAUCCCACAGUCUACAGUUGAUAGAGUGAUUGUGAAAUUCACCGGAGAGGUUAAGGAGUCCACAUAAUUUUUCCCAGAUCAACCAGGGCCCUCCAACAGGAUCCUUCUCUUUAAGAGAAAUGUGGAGGAUAACCCUCAUUGCAAGGCCUCAGGGCAUAGCAGAACAAGUUGAUAUCAGUCCCAGAACAGCUAUUCUGUGAUGGUCUAGGGAGCAAUGGUUGACCAGAGCUGGUGGAGUGUGAGGGAAACAUAAACUCAGAUAAAUAUGUGUCCAUAUUGCAGAAAGGGCUCCUUCCAAUCUUCUCCAGUGGUGCAAUGAUUAAAGAAGGUUAAGAUUUGUUGGAUGAGAAUGGCAUUAAAAAGAUGCCAUGGCCAAGCCCAUCACUAGAUAUGAACCCUAUUGAACACCUCUGGGACAUAAUGGACAGGACAUAUCAUAAAAAUAAUUAGAAAGCAUCUUCAAAGCCAGAUCUUUUAAGAUUACUGCAUGAAACUUGGCAAGAAAUUCUGCAAGAGAAUAUUUGUCAUCUGAUCAGUAACAUGCCUAAUAGGGUUCUUGCAUUGAAAAAUGCAAAGGGCAUGUCUACUAAAUAUCAAAUAUUCAUAUUAUAACAAUUAAUAAAUAAUUUGAACAUAUAAUUUCAGAUUUAAAUAAAUUUACUUCUGUCAUGUCUGUGUACAUAUUUAUUUUUGUCAUGUGUGUGUGUGUGUGUACUAUUAUAUAUAUAUAUAUGUAUAUAGAUGCAGGCUUGGGUGUACACAGGCAUACACAUAUAAGCAAAGGCAUGGCUGUAUGUUAAGAAGCUUGCUUCUCAAUCACAUGGUUCCAGGUUCAGUCCCACUGCAUGGCACCUUGGGCAAGAGACUUCUAUUAUAGCCUCAGGGCCAACCAAAGCCUUGUGAGUUGAUUUGGUAGACAUAUAUGUGUGUGUGUUUGUGUGUAUUUAUGCAUGUAUGUCUUUGUGCCUGUAUUUGUCCCCCACCACUGCUUGACAAAUGGUGCUGGUGUGUCUAUGUUCCUGCAACUUAGCAGUUUGGCAAAAGUGACUGACAGAAUAAGUAGCAGGCUUAAAAAGAAAAAAAGGCCUGGAGUUGAUUUGUUCAAUUAAAACAAUUCAAGGUGGUGCCCCAUCAUGGCCACAGCCAAAUGACUAAAACAAGUAAAAGAUAUUGAGAAAGAGAUAGAUUGAGAGAGAGAGAGAGAGAGAGAGAGAGAGAGAGAGAGAGAGAGAGAGAGAGAGAGAGAGAGAGCCAUGGAUAUCAAUUCAAUUAAUUGCCCAAUGGUUGAGUAUAUUUGACUCUGUGUAUGUGAUAACAGUGUGUAGCUGAUGUUUAGCCCUAUGUCAGCUGUGAUUGUGCAGAUUCCAUAUGAUCAAAGAAACAUGGUGAUGCUGUAUUUUUAGGGGUAUCCAGGACAGCACUAUCUAAAUAAUUUUUUGUUAUUUAAAUUAGACAGGUGAUUGAGCUACUAUUUCUAGCAGGUUAUACAUAUACAUACAUAAAUAUAUACAUGCAUAUACAUUGUAUUAUAUAACAUCCAUGUUCCAUGCUGGAAUGAGUUAGACUGUAUGGCACAAUCCAAUGGGUCUAAGGACUGUAUCAUGCUCUACUGUCAGUUUGGGCACGGCUCCUAUGGCUGGGUGCCCUUCCUAAUGCCAAUAUAUGUAUGUACAUAUCUAUAUGAGUGUUGUGUGUAUACACAUACAUAUUUAGAUAAAUGACAAAAAAAGAAAUGAAUGACAUUUUUUAUUUAAAAUUACUACAAUUAUUUCAACACAUUUUUGCACCAGUCGUACGUUGGUGAGAUGCCAAGUAAUCAUUAUCAUAUAUACAAGGUGCAAAAUGCGCCUCUUCAGGUGAUUGUUUGAAUAAGUCCUUCAUUACUCUCAUCAUUUACUCACUGUGCAAAUGCAUACCCAAAAUGAUGUAUCAGUUUCAGUAGACAAAACUAAACCCAUAGAUUACCAUAUAUAUAUAUAUGCAUACAUAUAUGUACAUAUAUACACGCAUAUACAUGCAUACAGACAUAUAUACAUACAUACAUACAUACAUAUAUAUAUAUAUAUAUAUAUAUAUAGAGAGAGAGAGAGACAUAUAUUUAUAUAUAUACGCACAAGUAAGCACAUAAAUGCAAAACAAGAUGGAAAAAAAAAACAGUACUUGAAUACCAAAGGUAGAGUAAUAUGUUUUUUAUUCAAGCUGAAAAAUUUUUCACAAACUGUUACUCAACGUUUCAUAUUGCGAUUUGUCAGAUAGUUGUAAUCAAAACUGUCUAACAAAUGGUAAUGUGGAACUCUGAUUAACAGUUUGUGAAAAUUUUAUUGACUUUGAUAAAAAGUAUACAUACAUGUAUAAAUAUAUAAAUAUACAUACAUAUAUAUAUAUAUAAAAGAAUACAACAGUUGUUUCAGCCAAAUUUUUUUAUUGAUGAAUAGUUCAAUCAUCACGAUUACAUCAUGAAAAGUAUCCUCUUUCGUCAGGUGAUUUUAAACAUAUGUAAAAGAAAGAAUUCAAAUCGACUCACCCGGGGCAUCAGCAAAACUGGUGAGUAUAUUUGAAGAACUGUUAAAAUUUCAAAUAUACCCACCUACUCUGCUAAUGCCUGGCAAGGAGAGCUGAUUUGAAUUUCUUUCUUACCUAUGUUUAAAAUCACCCGAUAAGAGUAAAGUUUUUUCACAAUGUGAUAAUAAUGACUUAACUAGUGUUCAAUGAAAAAUAAUGCUGCUGAAACAGCUGUUGUGAAUCUUUAAACUCUACUUGUGUUCUUCUAUUAUACAAAUGACAUACCUGGAACCAUUUCUUUGUUGGAUUUAUGACUUGCAUUGGAUCGAGAACUUGUGUGUGUGUAUUCGUAUAUAUGUGCAUAUAUAAAUGGGUGUAUGUUUAUAAUACAUCUACAUACGUGUGAUACUUGACCCAUGCCCACCAUCCUGUAUGUUAGAAUAUCUUGAUUCUAACAAAUCCUACAACUGAUUAAUAAUAUAUAUCAACAUCAUCCAUGUUCAACACUAGAAUAGGCUGGAUGGUUUGAAAAGAUCUGAUGGGUCCAAGGACUGUAUUGUGCUCUAGUGUCUGCUUUGGAUCACUUCUAGGGCUGGAUGCCCUUCCUAAUGCUUGCCUCCCCCUUACAAUGCUUCUUUCAUGCAAGAAGCACAGGCGAUACUACCAUGCAGUAUAUGUGUGUGUGUGUAUAUAUAUAUAUAUAUAUAUAUA
rnacentral:lncRNA from 1 species